GCAAAUCCCUAAAUGUUUUCCAGUUAUGUUUACAGUAAUUAAGUCUUUGUUAUCUUAAAUUACUGACAGUAAGUGAGGUUUUGUAUACAUUACUUAUCUAGCGUCACUUUUAGGUGAACGAACCUAAAUAGUGAUAUGACCACAGUCACAGAUCCAGUCGAGUGACAACUGGGUCGGAUAAUUAUAAGAUAAAAACAAUUGUAACCGCUCUUAAUACUGUAAAUUAUAACAUUAUUAAUUUUAUUUCAUUUUUAACCUUAAUGUUACAGUUCUGUGUUCAAAUUUGACCAUAAAUAUUUUCUAUGUUUUAUAUAUAUUUUUAUAUAAUUUAUGACGUAAUCCGGGUCUUAAAUCCGGUCAGACCGGUCCGACCUUUGACCCCGUAAGACGAUCGGGUCCACCUCCGGUCCGGUUCUGAAAACAUUGCAUUUUAGCAAUUAUCUUAUCUAUACAAAAAGCAACGUAAAGUCACACCUAUUCACAGGAUACGUCACACCCAUUCACCACAAUUGGUAAGAAAAAAAAAUUGCAUAAAACACUUUUUCCACCGUCACCACUACAUAUGACACGUUUAAUGUUGAUGGUGUUCUACCGUUUCACCAACCACUGCAUCUAAACCCACACACCAAAUCUUUCCCCCCAAUCAGCAAAUCCUGUUUAAAGUCCUUCCAUCCAUCCAUCAAUUCGCCAUCGCAGCCACUCUUUUCAAUCGAUUCAACCGAUAUGCCCCUCCCAUGGUCGCCUAUUAUGUUCUCUUCGAGAAUGCUAUUUCGAGAUUGGUAGGCACAGUUAUUGCGUUUCAAGUCAUGGUUGGGCAAGAUGCCAUAUAUAUUCAUCACAAUUUACAACAAUCCAAGUCAAUCUUCUCUCAUAUUCGUAUCUGUUACUGUUUUGUUGAACAACUUUCAAAGUCAGAUCGGGUAACGGGUCAUAUUGGUCUCGGAAAAGGAUUGACAGAUUUAAGAAGGGUUCAAUUUGGUUUAGCUUUGAAAAAACUACAUCAUAUUUUAUCAUUUUUAUAAACAUGUUUGUAUUUAGCAUAAAAGUUUCCUGUAUUGGCUUUAGUAAUAUGCAGAUUGCUCGAUUCAUUAAAUUUGGUUUUCAAAAGUGUAGGUCCUCUCUAGAUACAUCAGCCUACACUUAACAAACUUGAUGGGUCGGGUCCAUUAAUCAUGCAACUCUUUUUUCCACUA